GAUGAACGCUGACAGAAUGCUUAACACAUGCAAGUCAACUUGAAUUUGGGUUUUUAACUUAGGUUUGGGUGGCGGACGGGUGAGUAACGCGUAAAGAACUUGCCUCACAGCUAGGGACAACAUUUGGAAACGAAUGCUAAUACCUAAUAUUAUGAUAAUAGAGCAUCCUAUAAUUAUGAAAGCUAUAAGCGCUGUGAGAGAGCUUUGCGUCCCAUUAGCUAGUUGGAGAGGUAACGGCUCACCAAGGCGAUGAUGGGUAGCCGGCCUGAGAGGGUGAUCGGCCACAAGGGGACUGAGACACGGCCCUUACUCCUACGGGAGGCAGCAGUGGGGAAUAUUGGACAAUGGACCGAGAGUCUGAUCCAGCAAUUCUGUGUGCACGAUGAAGUUUUUCGGAAUGUAAAGUGCUUUCAGUUGGGAAGAAACAAAUGACGGUACCAACAGAAGAAGUGACGGCUAAAUACGUG
rnacentral:rRNA from 1 species